ensembl:antisense
GAGUUUUAGAAUCCUUCAAGAUCACAGCAGACAGCUCCUGGGAAACACUGAAGGUUUAAGGGAAGACUUGCUCCUGCUUCCUGACCUGUUUGAGUUAGAGUCCUGACUUCCUUGGUGAUGAACAGCAAUGUGGAAGUGUUGCAGAGGGGCACAUAUGGUGCCAGUUCCCAUGGCUGCACAUCUGGAGCAAGGCAGAGACAGGGACAGUUAUGUCUGAGCGAGCUGUGAGCAGAGGAUGGUGAAUCCCGAAUCUAGGAGCAGCAUUUUUAUCCGGUCAGAAAAGGUUACAAGAUAUUAAAGAAUUUAGCCAAGAACACAAAGUUGAAAAAAUUGUAGAUGAGACUCAAUUCUAAGAGCUGGCACCAAAGGAGUUUCAAGAAUAGGCAUUUGAUGCUUGUGGAUGUUUCACAGACAUCAUCCAACAUUUCCUUCUUUUGCCUCAAAGGCAGUAGCAAAGGACCGCCCAGAUCUGCGGGGACCAGUGUGUUGGAAGAUUUACAAGCUACCAUGAACAGACAGACAGACGGACAGACUGAAGAUUCACAGUGAGAUUGCGUGAAAGAGGGUAAACGAGACUUUGAACAGAGCAGGACCAGAAACAAUAGCCAAGUCAUGAACGAGAAGGGGGCUGGCUCUCAGGCCAGGGGAUCACAUCGGAAGCCAGAUGUUUCCACCGCAUUGAACAUGCUCCUUUAAAAUAGUUGAUGGAACAGUUCCACUUUAUUUUUUUAAUCCUAAAAUCUGAUUUCUCUUUCAAUUCAUAAGAUAGUAUACAUUUCUACUCCGCCGGAUCUUCAGAAGACUGACCAAACUCAAGGUUUUGUUUGACAGCCAGCAAAUGGGGCAACUUAUGUGACUAGCCAAAAUUUUCAUGAGUGACCUGACACCCAGCAGAAGAAUCAGAUACUGGCGGAACAAAACUCUUGUUUGAUCUCAUUAUGUUUGACUUUCAUUUUCUAAUAGAUGAUAAAGUUUAAAAUGACACAAAUAUUUCAUUAUAAAUCUUUCACUGUUUUCAAAUAUCCCUAAACAUUUAAAUGUCCAUUUUCCAUGCAGGCUUAUUACAAUGGUGAUUCUAACCCAGAUGGCAUUUUAGAUGUUUGAACAACUUUUAUCUUUGACCUUUUGGGGGGCAGUGGAAUAUGAACCCAAACAUUCAAACAUCCAUCUGAAUGUCUCAGGUUGAAAUAACUUGAAAUGUUAAAAUGGCAUUGAUAUUGAAGUAUUGAAAUUUUGUAAAGUUGAAAUAGCAACUUCAAAAUGUUCUUGAUGUAUUCCCUAUAUAAUGUUGACAAUUUCUGCCUAUAAAUAGAAUUUCUCUUUCUGACACUGGUGGAUGGAUAUUAGAAAGUAUGCUUCAAGACUUUUGACUUGACAACACAGAUAUAGCUAGGACCUGUAUAAAUGACUUCUACUAAUUAAUCUAUGAAAACUUCUAUGUGUCAAAGCAUAGAUAACUAUUGUUCUUACUAUAUCUUGUGCCAGUGUGCACAAAAAAUAAAAUAUUCUAUAUC